AUUGAACGCUGGCGGCAGGCCUAACACAUGCAAGUCGAGCGGAUGAAGGGAGCUUGCUCCUGUAUUCAGCGGCGGACGGGUGAGUAAUGCCUAGGAAUCUGCCUGGUAGUGGGGGAUAACGUCCGGAAACGGGCGCUAAUACCGCAUACGUCCUGAGGGAGAAAGUGGGGGAUCUUCGGACCUCACGCUAUCAGAUGAGCCUAGGUCGGAUUAGCUAGUUGGUGGGGUAAAGGCCUACCAAGGCGACGAUCCGUAACUGGUCUGAGAGGAUGAUCAGUCACACUGGAACUGAGACACGGUCCAGACUCCUACGGGAGGCAGCAGUGGGGAAUAUUGGACAAUGGGCGAAAGCCUGAUCCAGCCAUGCCGCGUGUGUGAAGAAGGUCUUCGGAUUGUAAAGCACUUUAAGUUGGGAGGAAGGGCAGUAAGUGAAUACCUUGCUGUUUUGACGUUACCAACAGAAUAAGCACCGGCUAACUUCGUG
rnacentral:rRNA from 1 species